ACAGAAACUAUGCUUCCUAUAGACUCAAAAAACAGAGAAGACACCUCCACGGAGGGACUGGAGGGCAGAUGUGGUACAGAGGGUGAAGAGCAGCUGCACUGAGACUUUCCAUGCUUGGGCUUGCAAAGGUGCCUUGGAAGACCCUCAGCCCAAGAGCAAGGAGGAGAAGCCACCUCCUGCCUGCUGGACCACACCUCACACCAUUCAGCAGGUGCAACAGGGCCAAC
rnacentral:lncRNA from 1 species